rnacentral:rRNA from 1 species
GAUGAACGCUGGCGGCGUGCCUAAUACAUGCAAGUCGAGCGAACAGACGAGGAGCUUGCUCCUCUGACGUUAGCGGCGGACGGGUGAGUAACACGUGGAUAACCUACCUAUAAGACUGGGAUAACUUCGGGAAACCGGAGCUAAUACCGGAUAAUAUAUUGAACCGCAUGGUUCAAUAGUGAAAGACGGUUUUGCUGUCACUUAUAGAUGGAUCCGCGCCGCAUUAGCUAGUUGGUAAGGUAACGGCUUACCAAGGCAACGAUGCGUAGCCGACCUGAGAGGGGGAUCGGCCACAAUGGAACUGAGACACGGUCCAGACUCAUACGGGAGGCAGCAGUAGGGAAUCUUCCGCAAUGGGCGAAAGCCUGACGGAGCAAAGCCGCGUGAGUGAUGAAGGUCUUCGGAUCGUAAAACUCUGUUAUUAGGGAAGAACAAAUGUGUAAGUAACUAUGCACGUCUUGACGGUACCUAAUCAGAAAGCCACGGCUAACUACGUG